GUCCUUGUCGAUUAGUGGUUAGAUCAUCACGUUGUGGCAACACAGAACCGUGAAGACGGAGGCUCGAAUCCUCCCUGGGACA
rnacentral:tRNA from 1 species